rnacentral:lncRNA from 10 species
GAAAUUUGCACUUGUAGUUGCUGCUAUUUUUGGAACCAAUGAAAAAGUUUCACAGAUUAUUAACUUUUAGUAGUUGAAGAUUUUUAGAUUGAAAGAUUGCUGGGAGAGACAACCUCGCCAUCUGAUUAACGGCAUGAAUUUCUUCUUUAUAAUGUUCAACUACAGUAUGAAUUGGCAAACAUUUUCUCUAAAGCUCAACACAGUAAAUAUUUUAAGCUUUACAGGGUAGGUAUUCUCUGUUGCAGCCACUCAACUCUAGUGUUUAGUGCAAAACUGACCACUGAAAAUAUGCCAUACCAAACAGGUGCUGGACCAGACCUGGACUCCCUGGGGCCACAGAGCUUCAUUUGAACUAAGUAGAAGACUGCUCUGGUUAGAGAGAAUCUCCGAGAUGCUCUGGAAGAACAAUGGCCAAGCAAAAUUCUCCCGGAGGACAGAGUCUGUGGCAGUCUUUCUGGGUGACCAGAGUCAAGAGAACCUUUCGAGCUGUUUACAACUUUCAGCAAUCUGAGUAAAGUAUACUCCUGUAAGCAAAAUUAGCAUAUUGCUUUCUCUCUACCUGACUUCUUCAGGGUUUAGAAACUAUUUUUGAGUAUUCUCAACUUACGGCAAUAUAGUUAUUUGCGUAAGUGCAAUGAAAAUCUGUUUUCUUUUGUAAUAGAAAAUGAGUGGAG